AUUGCCUUAGUAACGGCGAGUGAAGCGGCAAAAGCUCAAAUUUGAAAUCGGCCUCCAGGUCGAGUUGUAAUUUGUAGAUUGUAUUUUUGAUUUGGUAGAAGUCUGUUGGAACACAGCGCCUUAGAGGGUGAGAGCCCCGUAAAACCUAUUCAAUUGUAAAAUACUUUCAAAGAGUCGAGUUGUUUGGGAAUGCAGCUCUAAGUGGGAGGUAAAUUCCUUCUAAAGCUAAAUAUUGGCGAGAGACCGAUAGCGAACAAGUACAGUGAUGGAAAGAUGAAAAGAACUUUGAAAAGAGAGUGAAAAAGUACGUGAAAUUGUUAAAAGGGAAGGGUACUAAAUCAGACGUGGGUGUUGUGUUCAACUUUGUCUCGGCAAAGUGUACUCGCAACAUCUAGGCCAAGGUGGGAUAGUUGGGCAGGAAAAAGCUUGAGGAAAGUGGCUCUUCGGAGUGUUAUAGCCUUUUGUAAUACUGCCUCGGCUGUCUCAGGACUGCGCAUUUUGCUAGGAUCUUGGCGUAAUGAUUUUGUACCGCCCGUCUUGAAC
rnacentral:rRNA from 2 species